UAACAACAUUCAUAAUAGGUGUCAUAACACUUGCUGCUUAGAAAACACUUACUUAACAUAUAGAAAACUGGAUUGCUUUAGCACAUCCUUCUCUCAAUUCUCCCCCAGAAGUGCUAAGCAUAGGCCACAGAAGUUAGGGUUGCUUUUCUUGUUUUUUUAUUGAGCUUUUCCUGCCACAUCAAAAAAGUGUUACAAAAAAACUAAAGGGCAGGAAAAACAGCAGACCAGAAGUCGCAUCUAAUUAGAAGACUACUUUUGACAUGAAGUGGAGACUGGUGGAAAACCACUUAAAUUCUGAGUGUUCAAUGUGACCUUU